UACGUAGGGUGCGAGCGUUGUCCGGAAUUAUUGGGCGUAAAGGGCUCGUAGGCGGUUUGUCGCGUCGGGAGUGAAAACACCGGGCUUAACUCGGUGCUUGCUUUCGAUACGGGCAGACUGGAGGUAUGCAGGGGAGAACGGAAUUCCUGGUGUAGCGGUGAAAUGCGCAGAUAUCAGGAGGAACACCGGUGGCGAAGGCGGUUCUCUGGGCAUUACCUGACGCUGAGGAGCGAAAGUGUGGGGAGCGAACAGG
rnacentral:rRNA from 1 species